GAGCCUCUUUUUUAGCAAUGUCUGAACACAUUUCCUCUCCUGCUGAACAGCAGCCCAGCUACAAAAUCAAGAAAUUUGACAUCCAUAUGACCAAUUCAAGCUAAUUCAUUGCUGAAAAAAAAAAUCUGCUAUACAAGUCAAGAAAGAAGAAGACUGGUUUCAGGACCCCAAACAUUUAUCUAGAUGUCAGAUGCACUCCAGAAAAAUGGUGGUGUCCUUUUGGUAAAUCAGAAUGUCAGCUGAAUAUUUUUAAAAAGAAGAAGAAGGAAAAAAAAAACUCCUGGACUUUCUCUGAAAGGUUAAAAUGGUUGAAGUAAAUUUAGUCAAAGUAAAUGACAUCCAGUGAAGAAUACAAGGAAACCAUAUACAUUUAUAAAUGCUUUCACUUAAAUUCUAAACAAGCAAUUUACCAACCUAUAAUUUCAAGAGAUUGUGAAGUGAUUCUGACAAACUCUAUCAAAAAUUUGAAGUGGUAAAGAAGUGAUGGGUGGACAAAAAAAUACAGGUUGAUAAAAAUAUUAAUCUAGAAUUUCAGGCAUCUUAAUGUCACAAUCUAUGGUUAUGAGUAACCGCUUGGAAAUGAAAACUCCUCUAAGUGGCUGUUGUCCUUUUCCUGCCCUCAUGGUACCUAACCAGCUGUAGCUGACAUCAGCUUAGGAAGUAGACACAUUGCUGCACAUCAGAGGCUGUUAGAAACAUGCAUUGUCAGCCAGACAACUAGCUUGUGAUAGAAUUUUGGAAUGCAAGCUUUGUUCUCCACUCAGACAUGAAGGGGGUUUAGUCAUGAUUUUAAAGAAUUAUUUCAUUUAGCAGACU